rnacentral:lncRNA from 1 species
GGGAUGUUGGCUGGGUUUGCAACUACCUACAGGCUAACUAGGGCUGGAGGAUCUCCUUCCAAGGUGACUCAUUCACAUGGCCAUAACUUGAUGUGGCUGUUGGUCAGAGGCCUCAGCUCCUUGCUAUGUGGAAAGCCCCACAGAGCAGCUUGGGGUGGUCAGGGUGGAGUUUCAACUUGAUUGGCUUUGAGAUCUGCCCCAGAGAUUGGCGGAGCACAUUUCUAGGUGUGUCUGGCGAGUCAUGCAGGAAUGGCCUUGGGGUGCAUAUCUGGUCCCUCACCACUUCUACUCUGGCACUUUUCCCUCCCUCUGCUUCCUGGCCACCAUGAACUAAACAGCUUUGCUCUGCCAUGAUGCCUCUGGAUUGGAGCCAGCUGAUCACAGACUGAAGCCAUGAACAAAUUAAACGUUUUCUCCUUUAAGUUGUGAGCAUCUCAUAUUGUGUCCAACAAUGGGAAAGCUGACUAAUACAGGGAUCGAGCAGCAGGCGGCAAAACCACUGAGCUAAAUCCCUGGGCCAAGUCUCUGUUUUUCUUAAUCAUCUGCCUAGAUGUACUCAGAGGUCUACAAAACUCGCCCACCAAUCCAUUUGUUCAUUGAAUCUGAAAACGACUCUGUGAGUCUCAUUUUCCAGAUGAGGGAAGGUGAGGCUGAAACCAAGAUGACAGAGUCCAGCCCAAGCUCGGAAGGACUAUGAGGUGAGCAAUCCAUGCAUUCCAAGGUUGAGUCAAAGCACAGAGUCCACACAGAGGGACUGAGCAGGACAUGGGACACAGCUGUGCCUUCUGCAUGGGCCUGUUGACCCCAAAGACUUACAAUCCUGGAGGGAAGACAGAGAUAAACCAGCCACUGCAGGAUACAACUUCACACCCAUCACAAAUUAGAUGAAUAGUACUCUCAAGUGCUGGUGACAAUGUAGGGAAAUGAGUGACCUCAAGCACUACUGUGGACAUGGGAAUUGGCCCAGCCAUUCUGGAAAGUAACUGGCUGGUAUGUCAUAGAACUGAGCAUGGGCAUGACUUGUGGCCCCCAAAUCCCUCUUCUGGCGACCAACCCAGAGGAGUAUGCGGAAAUCCUGAGAGAUGGGCAGGGACAGCAGCCAGGGCAUGUCAGUGGAGAGGACUUAUGUCAGGGGACUUGGGGUUGCAGCAACAAACAAGCAACCAGGUAAACUCACAGCCAUGAGAGUAGGUUGAGGGGAAUAUAAUGGUCGGACAAGAGUUAGUGUUUGGAAAACAAAGCACAUGCAAGAAAUCCAUAAAAGAAAAUGUUGACGAUCCACACUUUUUCGGGAGGAGAAGGUGACUGGAGUGGGGAUCAGAGAAGAAGGAAGAUGGAAUAAACAGGAAAGGGCUCCUGCAUAAACUGCCAAGAUCAUCAGAUGUGCUACACCACGAAAGUUACGUUGACUCAACUCCACGCAUCUGAAGGUCCUCGGAAGUUAAGUAAAAGCAAGUAACUGUACAGUACUCACAAACAAGUAACUAAGCCUUGUUGAGACAGUCCAAGGGUUACUCCAGGCUCUGUGUUCUUAAAUCCCAGAUCUCCCUCUGGCCUUUGCCCAAUGGCUCCAAACCAACCUUCUAUGUUUGGACUCUCUUUUAUCUUCUGCUGAGACAUUUCCCAGAAGUGCCUUUUCCCCAUGUAGAUGGGCCCAUGUUGGAUGCCGCAGCAUGCAGACUUGUCUGAAUCACAGACAGAUGAUGUCUCCAGAGGAGACCCCAGCUGCAGCCAGACCAGGAGCCCAUUCACACAUCUAUUUUGUAACCCACUUGCACUCAGGCACCAGGGGACUGAUCAUGAUAAAGGACAUCUGAGGAGCUUAAAGUGUGGUCCUAUUACACAUCUCAGCCCACUUAAAUCCAUUUAAUCUUGCAGAGACAUAUAACAUUGGCUAGGUGGUCACGGUGUCCCUAGAAAAGAAGUAGAUGAGCACUCUGCUAAAUUCUGACUUGGUCUAUUUAACUAGAAGCCUAGGUUGAAUGAACAGUCUAACUUGAAUCACCAAAACAGACACAGCCCCUCAGUCAAUGCCUAAACUUGAUGUAGUUUAUACACCAGAAAAUUGUUAUUCUUUUCUUUUCUCUCCCUUUUCUCCUUUUUUAGUGGUUCUGGGGCUAGAACAGGCACUUAUGCAUGCUAGGCAAGCGUUCUACUACGAGCUACAUCCUCAGCCCCAGACCAGAUGUCUUGGAUGCAAGGGUGCUGCUUUCUCUUGAGGGAUCCUCAUUGCCCUAAAAAAGUCUGCUGUUCACCUUUCUCCCACCCUUUCCCUAAGGGAUCUCUAGACUCUUCUGGCUCCAAACUGACAUUAUUUCCAGGGGACCCAAAAUACCACUGUGAUACACAGGGCAGUUAGAGUAGGGGCUAAUGGAGGUCGGGUGACCAAAUGGGUCCCAGACCAUCCUGAGGUCAUGUCCCCAGCCUCAGAACGCAUACCUGGAGCAGAUGCACCCAGCCACAGGCACAGCCCCUGCGGGGCAGAUGCAGCUAUUACUGUCCCAUGUCACAGAGUGGGAGAGCACGAACUGGAGGCAUAGAAGAUUCUCGACUUUACUCAUAGCCACACCACUGGAGGCUGGGAUUCAAGCAUGACAGCAUGGUCCCAAAGUCCAUGUCCUUCACUAUGACACCUACUGAGCUUAAGUCCUUGUGGCUCAGUGGAGAUAAGCAGCCACACAGAUCACUGCAAGAGACAGUAGAGCAGUAGUGAGGGAGGUGGAGGGAGGGGAGGUGGAUGGAGUCAGUAGUGUCCCCAGUCCAGACAGUGCCACAGCAAUGGAGAGGAUGAGCCGGAGUUGAUGAAGGUAUUGUGCUUGGGCAGAGGAGCAGGGCAGGAAGAGCCAGUGGGCUGAGGCUCAGGCUGUCCGAGGUUGGGUGGGAGAGAUCACUGACUCACGGCCUCGAACAACCACGGCACCAGGGAGGGACCCAUGGGGGCUCCCCUGGCAGGGUCCUGGUCCUGCCUCCCCUCUGCCUCAGGAGCCUUUUCCUGCUGGUGCCGAACAUCCACAUACAUGUGGUUUCUGUACAAGCCUGCGGUUGGUGUGUAGCAAUGACUUUCAUCUCUGAGUAAACACCCUUUGGGUUUUAUUUUUGCUUCCUCUUUAUCCCUCCAGACAUCUCCCCUGACCCCCAGUGCAGCCCUGGAAGGAGGGCAAAGGCUCUUCUGCAAACACGGGAGUCUGGCAGCUUCUUGUUAAGGAGAUUCAUCCUGGUCACAUGCAUAGAAACAGCAGUCAUUGGAGACAGCAUUCUCUGGUCCAUCACCAGCCAGCAGCAGCCUGGGGCACUAAGCCAGCCAUAGUCUUGCUCCACAGGGACUGGCGUGGAGGUACUCAGUGCUAGCUGUCCUGGGAAGAGCUUACUGCGUGCUGAGCCCUUGUCUGUAUGAAGUUGUUUCAACCUCGCAGUUCUGUUGAGGGUCGAGCCCAGGCUGGCCUUUCACUUGCAGUCCUCCUUUCUCAACUCCACAGUGCUGAGGCCAAGACACGCACCACCACGCCCAUCUCUUGAACAUCUCCGGGACAUUUAUACCCGUGCUGUGACAUUGGUACAUUCACACUGUUGAGCAACCCUCCCUCCCUAUCAUCCCGCUCCAGAAAAGUAGAAACUCUGUAUCCACUGGACAAUAAAUCACCUUUCUUCCUCCCAGCCCCAGCAAACCGGCAUUUUAUUUUCUGUCCCUAUGAAUUUGGCAACUCGAAGUGCUUCGUAAAAGUGACAUCAUAAUAUAUUUGUACUUUUGUGACUGGCUUAUUUCACUUGGCGAAAUG